UACGGAGGGGGCAAGCGUUAUUCGGAUUUACUGGGCGUAAAGCGCACGUAGGUGGCAUGGUAAGUCAAAGGUGAAAGCCCUCGGCUCAACCGAGGAAUUGCCUUUGAAACUGCCUUGCUUGAGUCCGGGAGGGGGGAGCGGAAUUCCCAGUGUAGCGGUGAAAUGCGUAGAUACUGGGAGGAACACCGGUGGCGAAGGCGGCUCCCUGGACCGGUACUGACACUGAGGUGCGAAAGCGUGGGUAGCAAACAGGAUUAGAUACCCCCGUA
rnacentral:rRNA from 1 species